UAUUAAGAUAACGUUAAAUGCUGUGGUGAUUUGAUAUUGCUUAAUUUGUGAUGCAUGGACUGUUAAAUGCUCGUCUUCUUAAUGCAGAAAUGUAUGCAAGGAAUUCUAUUCCAAGCCUAUUCCCACUUAAUAUGAGUUGGAGAGGUCAUAAGAUUUUUUAGGUGUUAAGUACUGCGAAAUAUGAAUAAACCAAUUUAUAUUGUUUUUGUGCAGCUUACACAGAAUACGUUUUUCUAUUCUGCUGAACUACUUGUAUAUAGUUUUUCUAUGUAAACAUGCUCUAGACGGACGUGUUUAACUGUUAUGCCUUCGUCUUGUGCCAUUUGCAGAGUCUCUCACAUAAGCGCCAUGGUUUUAAGACGCUGUGUCAAACUGAAAUAAUUUAAAUUUUACACACAGCACAGCUCAUCAAUGUCAGUUCCACAGAAGUGGACCAAUCAGAAGACCCCGAAGGCAUGACAAGUCUGUCACGAGACCCUUGCGGUUUUGCGCUUUUCUUUUUCAAAACUUUCCUGAGUGCUGUGUCAUGCGUUUUUAGACGCAAAGAUGCGUUCUGUGCUAACCGCUCCUAAAUCCUGUGUAUUUGGGUAUAGGUGCAUCACUGUUCUCGUAAAAUAUGUGAUGGCAGGGGGAACGCAGAAUUAGAAUGAAAUAAAAUCAUGUGAUCUAACGUAGUGGCUAUAACAUUUUAUUUCAUUACUUUAUCCUUGAAUCCGAUUUACAGAUGGUUUGUCAGAUUGAUUUACUUUGGCAAUGGAGGUGAAGACGACAGCUCCCAACAUUUCAAACUCCUUCACAGCGCACAUUGAGUAACGCCUUUGUUAUAUGUGACGUCAAGCGGUAAAAAUGACGUACCCUGUCUUUAUGGUAACAGAUGCUUUUGCUAAAAUGGCUUUAGAGAUCGGACAAGUCUCUCUGCUGACUACAACUUGUUUUGGCACACCUUGUUCGUCACUAUAUAUUGUCUAGGUUGGCAAUACAAAAGAGCCUCAAAAGUGUUUUUUUCAUAGUAGCCUAUGCAAAUAAUAUAAACCCUUAUAACGAUGGGUGUUCGUUUUAUUUAGUCAAAUCAGGCAGGCUCAGUAUACGGACAGUUGCAACCCUAAUGCAGAAAAAAAAUUGCAUAAUGAAUGACCAAGAAAUGUGUUGUUGAAGUUCUUUAAUUAUAAUUAUCUAGAGUGUUUAUUAGUGGCUGUGUUAACAUUUGUGAGUGUGUUGGUGUGUGCGUGUACACACCUUUGGAAAGAGCGGAGUUAUUCAAUACUGAGUUACUCUAGUCUAGACCUCUUGAAACUCUCCCGUUGAAGAGACCCGACUGAAAGAGAGCCAAAGCUCAAUCUAGCUGACUGAGAAGAGCAUCUAAAUAUUUUAUUCAUCCAAGGCCGUAAAUUCAGUAAAAGCACUGUUUGCAAGGGUAAUUAAUGAGGCUUUUAGACUUGCUCUGUUACCUGAUUUUUGACAGGAAAUAGUAUAUUAAUAGUAUAUUAAGGAUGCCACAUUUCUCAAUAUAUAGUAAUAUUUAACCAUUCGGUAUGACAUUCAUGGUUUUUUAAAAUUUGUGUUAAAAUAAUUUAUGUGCGUUUUGUUACUUUCAACUUAAAGUAUAGCCAUCUUAUGUACAGUAAGUGUUCGAACCACGUUACAGACAGCCCCCAGCUAACACACAACGUACCAGUUACGUAUGUAUUUGUAUUUUUUGGUAAUUUCAUGACUUAUUUGCAACACAAAUUUAAUGUCACUGACAUGUAAUUUUAUUACCAUUAAAUGUCUAAUUUCCAUCUAAAACAGAGAGAUUUUAUUUUAUGAGAACUGUAAAUAUUUUAGGUUCCUUUUGAAACUGUGGCAGGACAAAUUAGACUUUCGGGCCCCCAUAUUCUGAGUAAUGAAUGGGAAACACUGUCGAGUGCAGUAGCAGCACGUCGCCAUUUUCCUUUCACACCGGCAGCGUUAGCAGCGCGCAGCCAAACCACGGCUUUUGUAUAGCAGCCUGUAAAUAAUGGGUAAGUUUGUGUUUAUUUCUGUUUCAAAUCGAUUUAAGAUAAAACACUUGUCAAAAACUAUCUAUGCGUGUUGUUUAACUUUUGUUUGUUUCAUCUACAAUGUUUUUAUUGUCUUUCUUUUCCGAGUAGUGCAGACAUAAGAAAAGCCAUUGCGCUAUAUUGCUUAGGAGGCUAUGCAAAAGAAUGAGACGCAGACUUUGGAUUCACUCAAUGAAUCAACGGAUGAGACCGUUUGGUGCAUAUUAUCAUCUGGUUGCUGAACUGCGCCUCGACAGCGACCGGCACCUGAACUACUUUAGGAUGCCUGCAAACCAAAUGGAUCACAUUCUUUCCCUGAUCGGAGCCAACCUGAUGAGACAAACUACAAAUUACAGGAUGGCUUGCAGUUACACUGAGCCAUGCUGGAUGUUGGGGUAGGUGUCACAUGGUGGGGGUGAAGUGUUUCUUCCUCAUGAUAUCUUGCCACUGGCGAGAGCUUCACCAGAAUGUCCUUCCAGUACCGUCUGGAGAUUAGCACUGUGUCGGAGUCUGUUCACAUGACUUGUUAGAGCCAUUGAGAAGCAAAUGAUGGCAUCACAGUUCUCUAAACUAACAGAGGAAAGGUGGAGAGCCAUAGCCUCCAAGUUUUGGGAGAAAUGGAACUUCCCAAACUGCCUAGGUGCUAUUGAUGGUAAACACUUCACCAUUGUGUCACCUGCACAUUCCGGGAGUUUGUACUUUAACUACAAAAGGACUUGCUCCUUCCGUCCUACUGGCACUUACUGAUGCAGAAUGCAGUACGCAUUUAUCCAGGUGGGUGAUUUUGGACAAACAAGUGAUGGUGGAGUUUACAGUGGGUCUGCUCUUGGAAGAGGCAAUGAGGAAAAAACUUUGUCGAUCCCUGCAGACUGCCCGUUCCCAGGAUCUGGUGUGCAAGGCCGAAUGCCCUACACCAUUGUAGGAGACGGAGCAUUCCCACUCAAAACAUAUUUAAUGAGACCAUUUCCAGGCAACAGAAUUCCUCGAUGGAGACGGAUUUUCAAAACCAGCCAGGAUGGUUGUUGAAUGUACAUUUGGAAUUUUGUCAUCCAGGUGGAGGGUACUCCAUACUAGGAUGAAUGUAAACCAGAAAAUGCAGACUCUAUCGUCAUAGCUAUUUGUGUCCUGCAUAAUUACCUCACAAACCCAUGUGAAAAUCAGAGGUGGCUGGAUGAGGCAGAACAAAGAGGUGAAGUGCUUCUCCCCGUCAGAAACAUGGGUGGAUGCAGAGACCCUUACGAUGUUCGAGAAAAACUUUGCACAUUUUUCAGCUCCCCAGAGGAAAGUGUGUCCUGAUAAGACGGUAUGAUCUAGGGAGCUGUUUACUUAUUGUGUGUGUGCUUUAAGUUUAAAUAAAUGCUUCCAUUGUACCAUUGCUUUGCCUUGUUUUAUUAAAAGAAACCAUAAAUAGACUAAAAUGCAUAUUUAUUUUAUGUUGCUGAGACCGAAAGCAAUUGACCCUUCACAAGCAGUUUGAUUGAUAGGGCAAUCUGACCAAUUAUAACGACGAUAUUGUGUGCCCCCUUGACUGACCGCCAUUUUGUCAGACAAACAAACUAGUCCGACAAACCUGGCGUCAGAGGCGGAUACAGAAAGUAGAUGAUAGGUGGGCCUGUAAAAUUGUGGGUGGGCCGGAAUAAUUCAAAGUAAUUUUUAAGAAAAAUUGAUGGACCGGUGUUCUGUCCCACUGUGGCGUAAAAUGCAAUUCAAUAAACUUUGCUCUACAAAUGAAACGGCAUCCCUGUGCAGUUGAUUUAACACGGUCCCAUGGAUUUGCGGUGCAUGGCUUUUUAGGGCU